rnacentral:rRNA from 1 species
GAGUUUGAUCCUGGCUCAGAACGAACGCUGGCGGCGUGCCUAACACAUGCAAGUCGAACGAGAUCCAGAGCUUGCUCUGGUGAAAGUGGCGCACGGGUGAGUAACGCGUGGAUAACCUACCCUGGUAUCCGGGAUAACAUUCCGAAAGGGGUGCUAAUACCGGAUAAGCCCACGGGCUCUUUGGAGCUUGCGGGAAAAGGUGGCCUCUAUUUAUAAGCUACUGUAUCAGGAUGGGUCCGCGUACCAUUAGCUAGUUGGCGGUGUAACGGACCACCAAGGCGACGAUGGUUAGCUGGUCUGAGAGGAUGAUCAGCCACACUGGAACUGAGACACGGUCCAGACUCCUACGGGAGGCAGCAGUGGGGAAUUUUGCGCAAUGGGGGAAACCCUGACGCAGCAACGCCGCGUGAGUGAUGAAGGCCUUUGGGUCGUAAAGCUCUGUCAGAGGGGAAGAAAUGAUAUAGUGCUAAUACCACUUUAUCUUGACGGUACCCUCAAAGGAAGCACCGGCUAACUCCGUGCCAGCAGCCGCGGUAAUAC